AUGUGCGUGAAGAAAUACCAUCCUUGCUCUGCGAGGCGAUGGACACACACUCGAGAACCCUGCGGAGGUACCGUAGCAACGGGUUACAGUAACCGAAGCAGUCGAUUCUCUAGUGGUUCUUCGCCGGUGAACAGUUAUGGCCUCUGACACAU
rnacentral:snoRNA from 14 species